rnacentral:lncRNA from 1 species
UGUUAUUUUAUAAAUUUGAAGACUAAUUGAUCACCUACCAAACCCCAAGGUUAAUUUUGGAAUUUCAAAUAAUUAGAAAACCCUAAGAAGAAAUUAUAAAUGUAAAGUAAUUGGGACUGGUAGAAAAAACUGGGUGGCUACUUGAGUACCCUCUCUUCCUAAUUCACCCCCUUUCACUCAAAAAAUAAACAGAAAAAUAAUUUUAAAAAAGAAGAAAAACCAAAAAAAAGAAAACUAAAGAAGAUUUCCUUCUUCUUCGUGCAAACCACUAUAUCCUCUCUUUCUCUCAACUCACAAAAAUGGAAAAGAAAAAAAAGUGAAAAAAAGAAGAAUAAAAAAAAUAGAAGGAAGAACGAUCUUCUUCUUUGCAGAACCAACAAUUUUCGCCCCUUCUCACUCCCUUCUUCCUCGCAUCCGCCGCCACCAUAAUACUAACAACCUUCAAACCUUCUUCUUUCUCUCAUCCCCCAGUAACCACCAUCGUUGAAUCUCCAUAUCUCUCUUCAAGUUGUGCCACCACCCUUCGCAUCCCUCAAAACGGUUG